AUUGAACGCUGGCGGCAGGCCUAACACAUGCAAGUCGAGCGAGCGGCGGACGGGUGUGUAAUGUCUGGGAAACUGCCUGUUGGAGGGGGAUAACUACUGGAAACGGUAUCUAAUACCGCAUACCAUCAGAUGUGCCCAGAUGGGGUUAGCUCGUGGGUGGGGUAACGGCUCACCAAGGCGACGAUCCCUAGCUGGUCUGAGAGGAUGACCAGCCAAACGGGGACUGGAGCACGGUCCCGACGCCUACGGGAGGCAGCAGUGGGGAAAAUUGCAAAAUGGGGGCAAGCCUGAUGCAGCCAUGCCGGGGGUGAGAAGAAGGCCUUCGGGUUUUAAAGCACUUUCAGCGGGGAGGCGUUACCCGCAGAAGAAGCACCGGCUAACUCCGGGCCAGCAGCCGCGGUAAUUC
rnacentral:rRNA from 1 species